rnacentral:rRNA from 1 species
AGCUGUAAGUAAGCUUUGAUCCAGAGAUUUCCGAAUGGGGAAACCCAGCAUGAGUUAUGUCAUGUUAUCGAUAUGUGAAUACAUAGCAUAUCAGAAGGCACACCCGGAGAACUGAAACAUCUUAGUACCCGGAGGAAGAGAAAGAAAAUUCGAUUCCCUUAGUAGCGGCGAGCGAAACGGGAAGAGCCCAAACCAACAAGCUUGCUUGUUGGGGUUGUAGGACACUCUAUACGGAGUUACAAAGGACGACAUUAGACGAAUCAUCUGGAAAGAUGAAUCAAAGAAGGUAAUAAUCCUGUAGUCGAAAAUGUUGUCUCUCUUGAGUGGAUCCUGAGUACGACGGAGCACGUGAAAUUCCGUCGGAAUCUGGGAGGACCAUCUCCUAAGGCUAAAUACUCUCUAGUGACCGAUAGUGAACCAGUACCGUGAGGGAAAGGUGAAAAGCACCCCGGAAGGGGAGUGAAAUAGAACCUGAAACCGUGUGCUUACAAGUAGUCAGAGCCCGUUAAUGGGUGAUGGCGUGCCUUUUGUAGAAUGAACCGGCGAGUUACGAUUUGAUGCAAGGUUAAGCAGUAAAUGUGGAGCCGUAGCGAAAGCGAGUCUGAAUAGGGCGUUUAGUAUUUGGUCGUAGACCCGAAACCAGGUGAUCUACCCUUGGUCAGGUUGAAGUUCAGGUAACACUGAAUGGAGGACCGAACCGACUUACGUUGAAAAGUGAGCGGAUGAACUGAGGGUAGCGGAGAAAUUCCAAUCGAACCUGGAGAU